rnacentral:piRNA from 1 species
UGAGAUUUCUUAAUCUUGCUGGUCCCCAACU